GCGUGCAGGAUGAAGGCCUUCGGGUUGUAAACUGCUUUUGUACGGAAUGAAACGGCCACCUCUAAUAAAGGUGGCUAAUGACGGUACCGUAAGAAUAAGCACCGGCUAACUACGUGCCAGCAGCCGCGGUAAUACGUAGGGUGCGAGCGUUAAUCGGAAUUACUGGGCGUAAAGCGUGCGCAGGCGGUUAUAUAAGACAGAUGUGAAAUCCCCGGGCUCAACCUGGGACCUGCAUUUGUGACUGUAUAGCUAGAGUACGGUAGAGGGGGAUGGAAUUCCGCGUGUAGCAGUGAAAUGCGU
rnacentral:rRNA from 1 species